CCGACGGUGAGGGACGAAAGCUGGGGGAGCAAACCGGAUUAGAUACCCGGGUAGUCCCAGCUGUAAACGAUGCGCGUUAGGUGUGUCAGCGACCACGUGUCACUGAUGUGCCGAAGGGAAACCGUGAAACGCGCCGCCUGGGGAGUACGGUCGCAAGGCUGAAACUUGAAGGAAUUGGCGGGGGAGCACCACAACGGGUGGAGCCUGCGGUUUAAUCGGACUCAACGCCGGAAAUCUCACCGGAUAA
rnacentral:rRNA from 1 species